rnacentral:snRNA from 1 species
GUGCUCACUUUGGCAGCACAUAUACUAAAAUUGGAACGAUACAAGAUUAGCAUGGCCCCUGAAUAAGGAUGACACACACAAAUUCAGGAGGAAUUCCGUAUUUUU